GGGGAUUUAGCUCAGUGGUAGAGCGCUUGCCUAGCAAGCACAAGGCCCUGGGUUAGAUCCCCAGCUCCG
rnacentral:tRNA from 1 species